AUUGAACGCUGGCGGCAGGCCUAACACAUGCAAGUCGAGCGAGCGGCGGACGGGUGCGUAAUGUCUGGGAACCUGCCUGUUGGAUGGGGAUAACUACUGGAAACGGUAGCUAAUACCGCAUACCAUCAGCUUUGCCCAGAGGGGAUUAGCUAGUAGGGGGGGUAAUGGCGCACCUAGGCGACGAUCCCUAGCUGGUCUGAGAGGAUGACCAGCCACACUGGAACUGAGACACGGUCCAGCCUCCUACGGGAGGCAGCAGUGGGGAAUAUUGCACAAUGGGCGCAAGCCUGAUGCAGCCAUGCCGCGUGUGUGAAGAAGGCCUUCGGGUUGUAAAGCACUGUCAGUGGGGAGGCGUUACCCGCAGAAAAAGCACCGGCUAACUCCGUGCCAGCAGCCGCGGUAAUAC
rnacentral:rRNA from 1 species